CGCCCAGACUCCUACGGGAGGCAGCAGUGGGGGAUAUUGCACAAUGGGGGGAACCCUGAUGCAGCGACGCCGCGUGGGUGAAGGAGUGCUUCGGCAUGUAAAGCCCUAUCGGCAGGGAAGAAGCAGGACGGUACCUGACUAAGAAGCCCCGGCUAACUCCGUGCCAGCAGCCGCGGUAAUACGGAGGAUGCGAGCGUUAUCCGGAUUUAUUGGGUUUAAAGGGUGCGUAGGCGGACUGUUAAGUCAGCGGUAAAGGCCGGGGGCUCAACCCCGGCGAGCCGUUGAAACUGGCUGUCUUGAGAUGUCGAGAGGUAUGCGGAAUGCGCAGUGUAGCGGUGAAAUGCUUAGAUAUUGCGCAGAACUCCGAUUGCGAAGGCAGCGCACCGGCGCCCUACUGACGCUCAGGCACGAAAGCGUGGGUAUCGAACAGGAUUAGAUACCCCGGUAC
rnacentral:rRNA from 1 species